rnacentral:rRNA from 1 species
AUGGACGGAGUACAACUUACAUAUCUGGUGGAGCGGUCGCUGGAAGGGGCUAAUUGCACAAUCUUGGAGAUCCAACGGAGACUGAGAGCAAACUUUGAACACAAAAGUAGGGCAAGGAAUCAGUUCUGGUCAAAAGAUACCUGCUGGAGUCGUUGGUGUCGUUGGGUGGAGUCAAUUGGACAAUUGAGGAUAUCCAACAGAGAUUUGGCGACAUCCAAGGGGCGCCCAUAUGAAGGUGAACAUGAAGUGAAACUUGGAAGCGCUUGCAAGUCUGACGGAAUUGGAAAUUCAGAUUGGUUUCAGGUGUGCGUGAUGGAAUUAUGUUCUAAAAAUUGUGUUACAUUACAUGUGUGCGCCCAUCCAGUCUCUGAUCUAGCUUGCUGUUUGUACGUGAGUAUUCGUAUUCUAGAAGAAAAACUAAUCAGCAAGAAACUUGCCAUCGGGCAUGUGCUAACAAAAGGAAAAUUGAAUAGGUUAGCUUGA